ensembl:misc_RNA Y_RNA Y RNA
GGCUGGUCUGAAGGUAGCCAGUUAUCUCACCUGAUUAUUCACAGUGAGCCACAGAUUGAACUCCUUGUUCCACUCUUUAACCGCUUCUCACUACUGCACUUGACUAGUCUUAA